rnacentral:lncRNA from 1 species
AAUUGUGCAACUUAAACUCAUAUGUUCUCUCUUCGUCCUUCAAAUCCAGAGCAUGCAUGAACAUUAUCUUCAACUUCAUCAUCUUUAUUUGAUGUCCAGAGGUCAAACGCAGUGACCUCUAGACAUUAGGUUGGACUAGCGGUCCGUUGGCUUCAACGGUCUUCUUCCUCCAUCCUCGUGCCCAGGUAAAAGUCUCUGUUGUUUUCCCCUCUGUUCUUUUCUGAUUUCAUCGUGUUGCUAUCAUCAUCCAUCAUUCAUCACUUUCCACUAUCUAUUUUGAACCAAUCGGAACCCUAAGGCUUGAAGGACACUAUAAAUACGAUCUUAAAUGCUCUCACCUAACAGACACCAACAUACAUCAAUACACACUUAAUACUACUGAUCCAUACACUGAAAGAAUUAAUAGUUCAAGUCUUAAGUUCCAGCAGUUCUUUUCUAAUUUCUCUUUUCUUCUUUUUAUUUUCUGUUCGAGUGCAAUCUAAUGUGAGUUGAUCGUAGUAAGUUUGGAUACCUUAGACAACUGUUAGCAUCUGCUUGGUUGCUGCUCCACAAAAGGUCAGUGUGGACUGACCUUCUCUCUUUAGUUUUCCCUAAAAUUAGUUAUGUGACUCUGUGUUUAUGCCGUUUAUACUGACAAACAUCUACAGGGCAAGAUAAUGCGUGGUUUUUCAUUAUGUGUUGCUAUUUAUGUCAUUUUGUUUCUGUUCUAAGAAUGAUAAUGUUUCUUAGUAAUUAUAUUGCCUUAUAUUGUUAUUUGAUCUGUAAUAUUGGACCUUAACUCGCAUGGUUUAGCUAAUAUGAUUCAGCACUAUCCCAAUGAAUAGAUCAUGUUAAGUCUUCAUACAUUAAGACUUAUGUUAAUACUAUGUGUGUUCCAUCUCUGUUAAGUUAAAUGAUAGCUAUCACACUAACUAAACCGACUAGGUCAUGGUCUUAUGUUUUCUCUAAUAUUCUGUCAAACUUCACAUCUGCUGCACUAUGCCAUGUUGAUUCUCAUGUUUGUGAUAUUGUGUCACAUUGUUUUAAUUCAAUAAAGAGUGGUUCUUAAUUUAUGUUUUCUAUUUGAUCUGUCUACCUAAUGAUCUUUAUUGACAUUCUUGUUGCUAAAAUCAUGCUUGUUUCUGUACACUUAGUGACUCAUGUAAGUCUAUCACUAUGACUUGAAAUCAUGAACCUGAAUCUGCUCACUUGCUGUGUUUGAUUUGCCAUGUCCCUCUGCUACCUCAUGACUAUGAACUAUGUGGUAGUGGCUAUUCAAAACCUUUACUGUUGUGAUGGUUGAAUGACUCUUGCUUGUGCCCAUGUUCAUCGUGUUAAUUCUGCUAAUUCAGUGAUGUUUAUGAAGCCAUCCUAUACCCUUAGCUUGAGAAAUUGUGUGCUUGGAUCAUUGUGUUGCCUUCUAUGAUUUAUACUUGCAUUAGUAUGCAAUCUUGACCCUCCACAGUAUUAUGUUAUACUCAAAUUGUCACGACCCGAAAUUCAACUAGUCAAGAUGGCACCUAACCCCAACCCGCUAGGUAAGCCAAUUAACAACAAUCCGAUUCAAUGAGAGUUACUGAUAAAUGGAAUGAUAAUAUAACUGAAUUUCUAUACAAAGAAUUCCCAAGGCUGGUAGUACAAAUUAUGAUCUUCUAAGAUUUAGAAUUUACAAAGCUGGAAUGAAAUAAAUACAUCAUCUGUUUGAAAUAUACAUGAACAAAAUAAUAAUCCUAAAGCUACCAAGAAUAAUAGGCAGCUAGGAACGGAACGCAGGAUGAAAUGCAGGUACAUCUUCAAUGCCAGCUCCCACCUUAUACAGCAACAUCAACAUCCAAAAUCUGCAUGCAAGGUGCAAAAAUAUACUAUGAGUACAACUGACACCAUGUACUCAAUAAGUAACAAACCUAACCUUAGGUUGAAAGUAGUGACGAGCUUGGACAAAGGUCAGAGUCCAACACCAACAACCAGGAACAACUCAUAAUAAUAUAUCUAAAGCAGUACAAGUAAUAACUCAAAGAUAUAAUACUCAACUCGUUCAUAGUUCCGGAAAAUAGGCAUGCUUUUCAAGUAUAACAAUAAAACCCAAAUCUUUCACCGAAAUCACCAAAAUAUGAUUAAAUCUGAACACAACUGUGACUUUUUCCAAAAACUUUCAACAACAGGUAAGAUGUUUCAUUGUCAGAUGGCAUGAGGAAAGUACACCUCUAUACCUACAUGUCAAUGUGUAUAUUAAGUCAUGAAUGUCGGAAUGUUGUACCGCAUGAGGAAAUGCAUCUCAAUGCCUACAUGUCAUGUAUGUAUGUCACUGUAAUGCAACGCAGUGAUAAAACCAUAUGCACACUCAGUCCUCACAGUCACUCAGUCCUCAAAGGAAAAGGCAUAUAUGGUUUUCAACUUAAGGUAUAUACAAAUUUCAAAGGGUGAUUUCCUACUUUCCGAUCACAAACAAAUUACAUCUUUUCUCUUUCAAAGUAUAUACACAACCUUCUCAAAAUAGUGAAUUUUCAAAUAAGGUUUAGAAUAUUUUCAUAGAGUUUACUUAUCAACUUUAAACACUAACUAAGCAGAAUAUAGACUUUUCUUUCCCCAAACCUAACCUAAGUUUAAGGAGCCACCUCAGGUGAAUUUUAAGGGAUGCCCAGUGCCUUUCCUUUAGAACAACUAGAACCCUUACCCAAAUCACACUGGUUAGCAGACCAUUAGGAUAAUAAUAUCAUAGACUUAUAGGCACCCUAAUAUACCUUAAAAUAUUAGGUGGAGAUUUUUUUAUCAACUUCAAAAGAACCAUUAGUUGUAUUGUAUUUUGACUAUUGCAAAAUAAGGUGCAAUAACAUGGCGACUCUGCUGGAGAUUUUUGUUGGUUCUGACCUUAGCGGACUUAGGAUAGAAUUGAACCUGGGGGUGUCUUGUUAUAUUCUGCUUUGAUUAUAUUUGAUAUGCAAAUAUGUGUUUACUCGCUUUAUUCUACUUGUUUACACUUUACAACAUGUUUACCUAUUUAUUUAUAUUACUACCUUACUACAAUUAUCUGUUAUUGCUUUAUACAUAUUUCCUAUCAAGUCUUGGCCGUACACAAUCGCACACAAUGACACGCGAGGGUUGUUUUUACACCCAUCAGAACUUUAUUUCAAAACUCUCUAGUUUCAGAGAAUGACUUUGUCAGGCCAACUGAUAUAACGACUCGCAAUUAUUCUAUCCAACUCCAAAAUUAGGAAACACUCUACUCUUAGCAAACAUAGGUCAUUCUGCAUAAACCUUAGGUGGCUCGAUCCUUGGUAUUGACUCAUGACUAGGAAAUCCACCUUAAUAUCAACAACUCAUGCACCCAACAAUAUAUUUUUUUGUGGAACUACGAAUCAAUCCAGAUAAGACGCUAAGGAUCCAGAGCAAAAUUCUUACCAAAUCUUUUACCCUUUUAGAUGGAAAUCAACCGCAAUGUCCCAGAGAUUAACAUCGCCAUGGGUGCAUCUCACAAAUUGAAGCAGUUGUGGAGGAAAAUUCAACGAGAGCACGAGAACGAGAUCAGGACACACCUAGGAUCACUAACCGCCCCGAUGAACAUUUGAGCUGACAAGGUACUCACCAGGUUGCUGAUAGAGUUUUGGGACCCAACCAAGGCGGUAUUCAAAUUUUUCGAUUGUGAGUUGCGCCAACACUGGAGGAUAUUACUAGUUUCACGGAGUUAUCAUUCACCAGGCGGAAGCCAAUACUGCUAGUCGUCAUGCCGGACCAUAGGUUCUUCCAUGCACUAGGUCUGACGAGUAACAGGAAAUUGUGAAACAUCAAGGAUGGAUGGGUGAGUUUAGACCAUCUAUUUGAUAGAUUUGGACACCGGGAUAGCUAUGAGUGGCAUCUUGAGGAAUUCUAGUGUGAUCAAGCGGCAUGGGAGAGCUUUCGCCCCAUAACCUUUUCUCUAGCACUAUUGGGACUCCUGGUUUUCCCACAAAGGAAAGGGAGAACCAACAUUAACCUAUUGCCUUUGGUUUAGGCUACCUUUCGAGGAAAUCUGCAGGUCACCCUUGUUCCUAUGAUACUGACGGAAAUAUUUCGAGCACUGUCGGCAUGUUCAAGAGGAUAUGAUUUCUUCAGAGGUUGCUACUUUCUAGUACAUAUAUGGGCUACAGGGCAUUUCUUCCAGAGGGAGGUGACCAUUGACUACUUUAUCGGCAUUAGUAACAUGAUCCACAACCAUAAUGAAAGGACGAGGCAUUGGUCUACACCACGUGGCCAGGAGGAGUGGCAGGAACUUUUGACCCAUUUGAGUGGAGAAUUCAUCAAAUGGAAACUUUCUUGGUUGAAUGGUAGAGCAAUCAUGAGAAUCUCGGGGAAGUACUUCAUUGAGUUGCUAGGUCUGGAGGGGAUUCAGCUGUACACACCACUGAGGGUUCUUAGGCAGUUUAGUCUGAUUCAAGAUGUGUCUCUCUAUUCAAGGACAACUUUGUACAAGGAUGAUUACAACAGGUAUAUUUGAUCCUGAGGGUAAGGAAUCUCCAGGACGAGUGGAAUGACUUGAUCACAAUGGGAAUGUGGCAAAAUCCCUGGUGCAUGCUGUUGACGACCAAUUUUUUUUUCGCAAAUAUACCACUAGGCAGUAUUCCUAGUGGCUAAUAUAUAUAUAAAAUCCCAAAAUGGGUCUACAUCUUACAAUAAGUCCAAAAAAAUAUAAAAUAUUAAAGCUACUACUAGCUAAUACUCCGAAUAGGAAAGGUAACACAAAUGAACUAGAUAUUACAGAGUAGCAGGAUGUAAGCAUUCGUAUCGAAGUAGUGGUGUUGAAUUCAAAGGCCAAGGGAAAAAACCAAGUAGCACCUCCAAUGCUCUCACCAGGCACCAUGUUCUUCAUUCCAUAUGACAAAUUAAUGGACAAGGCUAAUGUUGGUUCCAAACAAAUAUACCACUUUGUUGAAGCUAUCCAGAACUGCACAGUACAUGUGUUGAUCCAUCUCGAACUUCUUGUAAAUUUGUAGAACAUGAUCUACUUGCUUAUCCAAAAUAGGUUGUAUACUUUGUUAUCAUCUUCAAGCUUUGUGUGAUAGCACACUAAUAUCACUGGAAAAUGUUCAUACAGUACACAUCAUGAUAGUGAAAAUAGCAGCAACAUUUGGUUAUUUCUGGUGUUGUCCUGUGUUUUUCUGCACUGUCUGCUUUGCUUAUCAGUUCUGACUGUUGAUAAAUUACCCCCACGAUGAUCAUGGAAACAUGCUAAUACCAGUUGGAAGCCCUGUAACAACAUCCAGAAACAACCAAAACAGAAACAUUUGGCAAGAUCAGUCAAUGCAUUCGUAGUAGUGAUCAUCAAUCGGGUUCUUUUCUCUUGGCAAUCCUAAUCCUAAGGUUAGGUACUUGUGAUUUGUCCAUGUUUAUUAAUAUUUUUCCUUCAACUGGUAGUUCAUGAAAUGAUUGAAAUCUGAGCGUACCUGCAAAAGAGAAAACUAGGUUAGCUAAGAAGUCAGCAACAAUGUUGCCUUCCCUUAGUACAUGCCGAAAGAGCACAUUGUAGGUGCUCUUUAUUUCCUUAAUCUUCCUCACUUCAAAUCCUAUGCACCAUGGAGUUUCCCAUUCCUCAUCAAUUAUCUUCCUCAUUACCAGUGAAUCAGUCUCCAUAAUGAGGGGAUGGAGCAGCCUUUCUACACAAUAUGCCAAUCCCUGUACAAUUACCUUUGCUUCUGCCACUAUAUUAGUAACCUCCCCUAUCUCACUUGCCUCUACAUACAAUAAAUCACCAACAUGAUCUCUCACAUAAAAUCCAUAUGAUCUUGGUCCAGGAUUACCCCUUGAUACACCAUCAGUGUUGCACUUGAACCAACCCUCAUAAGAAAGUUGCCAUGUUAUUGUUUUGGUCACCACAUAGGGCCUGUAACCUUCAAAGAAUUGGAUCAUAUAUGGCCAUAGAAGAGGAAUGCUUGAUAGCCAUGGAUACCUUUGUCUUGAUAGGUAGUGAAAUGUCUUGUUCACCUCAUGAAUCACCCUAUUGCAAGUGACUGCGCCCCAAUUAUUCAUAUUAUUUCUCCUCUUCCAUAGUUCCCAUGUGAUGAUUACUGGAGCAGCCUGAAAUACUGUCUUAAGUUUGGAAUAAAAUUUUGCAUUCCACCAAGAUCUUAUUACUUGGUGAACCUGCACCAUGCUUAUCACAAUACCUGCUACUUGAAGGAAUACCUUCCACACCUUUGCUGCAGUAGAACUUGCGAGGAAUAAGUGCUGAAAAGUUUCUUCUUGCGUUGGCACACAACACCAGCAUUUAGAGACUAUUACAUAACCCCUCCUCUUCCAAAGAUCAUUAGUAGGUAUCUUUCCUCUCCAUAAUCUAUAAAGAAAGAAAGAUAUUUUAAAAGGCAAGCCUUUAGUCCACAACAUCUUAUAUUCUGCAUUAGUAGGAGCUUUAUGCCUUAGUAUUUGUCAGACACUACUGACUGAAAAUCUGCCUGAAGAUGUUGGCUUCCACUUAGGUGUAUCCCAAUAUUCAUCAGUUUCAUAAAACUACACCUCAUGUGUUAUAUGAUCUGCUAUUUCUGGUGAAAAUAUUUGCUCAAGCAGUUGAACAUUCCAAAUAUUAUCAUCCCUCAACUCUGCCACUUCUUCUAGUUCAUCAUUUAUUAGAAAUUUUGGGGGUAUUAUAUUUUACAAAGCACCUAAUCCAGUCCAAUUUUUAUGCCAUACAUUAGUAGUACCUCUAUUCAACACCCAUUGUAUCUCAUGCUCCACUUCAUCUCUUGCUUUCUAUAUUUUUUUCCACACAUGUGAUCACCCUCUAAAUUGAACCAUAGUGGGUAUUUUCUUCUUACAAUAUUUGUUCCACAUGAAGUUUGCCCAUAAUGACUUUGAUAUUCUAAACUUUCACCAUAACCUCACAAAAAAAGCUUUAGAUACAUCAAAGAGUGAUCUAAAACCAAGUCCACCUUCUUCCUUAGGUAAGCAUAGAUUGAGCCAUUUGGUCUAGUGCCUGCUUCUUCCUUCCUCUUUAUUACUCCAGAAAAAUCUAGCAAAAGUCUUGUGCAAAUGUUUCAUUAUAUUAUUAGGAGGAUCAAGUACUGAAAGAAUAUGAGUAGGCAUACUUUGCAAUACACUAGUAAUGAGUGAUGCCUUGCCACCAUAGGACAAAAGUUUCUCUUUCUAGGACUGCAACUUUGCUUUUACCUUCUUGAUAACAUUAUUGUAGUAAGCCUUCCUCCUCCUUGUAUUGAAAAUAGGAUAGCCAAGAUAAGUAAGUGGAAAUUCACCUUUUUGAAAUGUUGUAAUUGUACCCACUGAAGAGCAUAGUGAUUCUGCUACAUUACCAUGCAUGUAAUAGGAGCUUUUGUACUUGUUUAUAAGCUGGCCAGAAGUUUGUUCAUACUUAGUAAGCACCUUAACAAUCUUCCCCAAAGUGUAAGGAUUAGUUGAAGCAAAUAUGAUUGUAUUAUCUGCGUAAGCCAAAUGAUUUAAAGGGUCUGUCCAUUUUGGCAUCCCAAAGCCUUUAAGCCUUUUAUCCUCAAAUAGUUUAUUCAAGGAUCUUGAUAGCACAUCGGCGAUAGAAUGAAUAAUGCUGGAGAUAGAGAAUUACCUUGCUUGACUCCUCUUGUGGAUUUAAAGAAGUCUGAAGCUUGAUCAUUAUUUUCAGUAAGUUUAUUGAAAAUAUUUUCUAAUUAAUAAAUACUUAUUUUUAUAUAAAUUAAGUAAUUAAUGGUGUUAAAUUAAUAAUUUAGUGUUAAUACAAAUAUAUCACUCUUACUAUAUUUGAAACUAUUAAAAUAACUUUUACAAUUAUUAUAUAUGUUUAUAAUUAAUUUGAUAAGGUUGUUCCUUAAUUUUGAUAAAAUAGCCUACUAUUUUUAAAAUAAUCCAAAAUUAAUGUCACAAAUAGAAAAUAGGAUAUGUAACACUUAGUUAGCUAAUUAUAGUAAUUAGUAAUGUAUUUUAUUUCUAUAAUAUUUUAUUGAAAUUAUUGAAAUUAAUUUAAAUUAAUUACAAAAGGGUUAAAGACUGAAAUGGCUACAUUUGCAAUUGUAUAAUUAAAUAAAAAUGGCUACCUUUUAAAUCAAUUUUAGCCUAAAACACAUGCGCAAUAUUGCCUAACCCGGUCCAAAAUUACUCCUUCCUAACCACCUUGGUGAUCCAGGACAAAUCUGGAGGACUAAUGGCAUCGUGCCACAUCCCCCGUCCCACUCACUCAUAGCGCAAACACAAUUGAUCUGGGCCGUCGAUCCAAAUCAUCGGUGGUCCAUGUUUAUUCAUAUUUUUCCUUUUAUUUUAAACCCCAUGCCAUAUAUUAUCUUAACCGUUGGAUCACACAGAUCCAACAGUCCUAUUUUUUUCUAAUAACCUUUUCUUUAAAACUUUAAGACCUGAAUUAUCAGGGUCGUUGAUCAAAUGAUCCAACAGACCAGAUCCCGUAUUUCAUAUUUAACCAAAGACGCCCACUAACCCUAAUCAUUUUAUCCGUGAGACCCUCCGCCCCAAACCUAAUCAUUUUACCCGUGAGACCCGCCACCCCAUUUCUCUGAGUUUUCUUUGAAACGCUUAGCCUCCAUCAAUCUCCAACCUUGCAUAAAUUUGUGAAAGGUCACCUAAAUCACCCCUUUUGUCCCCUAAGACCACGAAUCUUGCCUGAAUCCUUCCAUUUUUCAUCACUAAAUUCAAAAUCCCCAAUUCAAAAAUUCUAGACCUGAACGAUCAAACUUAAAAUCAUCUAAUUCUCAUAUGUCCCGUCAAAUAUGCGGCAUGCAUGGCCGCGUCUUCAGUUUUAUCAUCACGAUUCUUUGUCCAGAGGUCAAACAUGGUGACCUCUGGACAUUAGGGCUUGACCACUAGGUUGAGAACUUCAACGAUUAACCUUCUCUUUUCUCACGUAAAAAUUCUCAUUAUUUUUCCUCUAUUUCUUCUGAUUUCACUUCCUAUCGUCAUCUUCCACUCAUGAUUUAAAUCGGCUGAAGACUAAGUUAUUGAAUGACAGUAUAAAUAUGGUCUUCAAUGCUCUCACCUAACAUUACCAACAACACUUAAUACAAGACAAAAACAAACAAAUGCUUAAGAGAAUUAAAAGCUUAGAUUUCUCACUGAUUUUCUUUUCCUUCUCUGGUUCUGAGUUCAUAUACUGUCGGGGCUUGAGUUUGGCUUCUUAACGGCUAAAAAAAAAACUUUGCUUGGUUUGCUGCUCUGUAGAAGAUCAGUGUACCCUAACCCUCCCUUUUCUUUCUGUUAUGUGUGUUUAUUUAGUGAUUUUGAUGUAUUCUUUGCUGAUUUCUCUUCGUUCAUGAUGCAUGUUAGUAAUUUCUGGUUUUCCUGUGUAUUGUUUGUCAUUCUUGUUAAUUAAUUCUUAUCCUUAUAAUAACCCAUGAUUGCUUUAGUAUUUCUAAUUAAUCUGUGACUUAGUUGGAUAACAUUUGCUAUAAUGAAAUGAUAAAAUUCUGUUGAACUCUUGUUAUUAGCCAAAAGAAUUUUGAUGUUCUUCCAUGAUUGUUCUGUUAACCAUGCCAUCAUGCUAACUUGCCUAAACUGUGAUCUUUGACCUAUAUUAUAUCUUGCUAGGAACUUAUGUUUUCUACUUCUGCAUUACAAUAAUUAUGGGGUUAAUGAUGUUAUGCUACUUGUUGAUCCAUGCCAUACUUAACCUGUAUACUUUGAUAAUAUUUGAACCAUGUUUGUUGUGUACACUUAAGGAUCCAAUAUAAGUCUGUUAGUUUAGUCUGAACUCACUAGUUUAGUUGCCAGGCUACUUGCUUUUCAAACAUGUCCUGUAAUCUUGUGAUCCUUGAAAACAUCACUAUGUGAUAAGUUUGAAUGUCCUCUGUUUGUCCUUGUGUUUAUGUAUCUGCCUAGUUACACUUAUGAACUUUCUUAUCCGAAGGACUCAUGUCUAAGCCACUAUACGCUUAUUGUUUCAUAGAAGAAUAAGUUGAACCUUGCCAGUUUUAACAACUUAACAAUGAAGAAUCUGAGGAGAAAAGCUACUGUUGGGACUUGUAGGCUCAAACAAUUUCUUAAUACCUGCUUGUCCAGAUAAAAUGAAUGAUAUUCUAUAUUAUUUGAUGUCCUCAGUUUGUGUAGGUUUAGUUAUGAACUUGGAUGUUUGAUUAGGAAUUUAAUAAACUAGUAGUCCUACUACUAAGUCUGAAUUAUACCAAGAUUGACCUUCUUGCCCACCUGCAUACCUCUGUUGGUGUUGUUGUUCUUUAAGGAGGCCUGAACAAGGUUAUUAGUCCAUUUACUUAGUAGAGUGAGGACUUGACCAUAUGUGUAAACUUCUGAUAGUUCAGAAUACAGCCUAAAUAGUUGUUAAAGUAUUGUGAGCUCGAUUAAGGAUUCCUGUAAGUGUAAACCUACCAGUAUAACUAAUAAAAUCUGUAUGCAUGUCAUGACACAAAUACCUAACCAAUCGUGAUGGCGUCUAUCGUUGAACUAGGCAAGCCGACAUUCUCAAUAUGCUUUCAAUAUAUAACAGAAGUGAGCUAAAGUAAUUAAACUAACUGAAGGUUUACAUAAUAACGAGGUAAAAACCCAAAACACAAGUGCGGAAUGAUAUCCCGACAUCGGGGUGUCACUAAGUCAUGAGCAUCUAGCAACCAAUCUAGAAACAGAGUCUACUACAGUCUGUGCCAAAUGCCAAUACAAGAGAGAAAAGAUAAUAAGAAAGGAGAAACAAGGACUGUGGACGCCGGCAGCUACCUUGUAAGUCUCCGAUAAUCAGCUCGCGCACGAACUCAGCGACCGCCAGAACCGUACAUACCUGGAUCUGCACAUGAAGUGCAGGGUGUAGCAUGAGUACAACCAACUCAACAAGUAAUAAAAUUAAAUAAGGAAUUGAGAAGCAGUAAAAUACAGAUCAUUUCAAAAGUUUUCACUAAAGAGUGAACAUGCUUUCAAAUCCGGUGAUAUAAGUUAAAUCAGUCGACCUCAAGUAAAACAGAUAUAAAUCUUCCAGAAAUUACACAACAACAAUAGAUAACAACUAAGUACAAUAAUAAAUAAAAGCAAGUACAGCCUCUCAAGGCAACAAUCACUCAACUCACCUCAACAGCUCAUACUCUCAUCUCUCAGCCCUCAAUACACUCUCUCAAUAGGUACCUGCGCUCACUGGAGGUGUACAGACUCCGGAGGGGCUCCUUCAGUCCAAGCGCUAUAUUGCUGCGGUGCGCAGCCCGAUCUAAUAUUGUUGCGUCGUGCAACCCGAUCCAAUAAUAUAUAUAUAUAUAUAUAUAUAUAUAUAUAUAUAGCUCGAAGGCUUGUUGCGGCGUGCAACCCAAUCCAUAUACCUCCUAACUUUUAGCUUAGCACUCAGGCCCUAUCUGAGUCACUAACCUCUCCAGCCUCUGGAACUCACAGAAUAUCAUAAUAAUUAGCCCAAACAGAGAAUACAACAAGUAUCAACAAGACAACAAUUAGCAUUCAAUUCAACAAGUAUACGAUCACUGUGGGUCCCAACAAUGAUAUCAUAUGGCCUAAGCAUGGUUUCUAACAUGAAAGGCAGUCAAUUGCUCAAAGACAAGGAAAAACAAGUAGUAACAAUGGUUAUUCAACUUUACAGUCUCACGGGACGGACCACAAUCCCUCACGGUGCACGCUUACACGCCCAUGAUCUAGCAUGUGCGUCACCUCCAAAUAUUCACAUCAUACCAAUUCUCGGGGCUUCAUACCCUUAAAACCAGAUUUAAUACUGUAACUUACCUUAACCACGCAAGAAUCUUGCUCCGAAAUGCCUUUGCCUCUCGAAUCGGCCUCCAAAUGCCCUGAAUCUAGCCAUAACAGUACGAGAUAAUCAAUAUUGGCUAAAAGGAUCAAUUUCACAAGAAAACUACUAAAAUAUAGUCCAAAAUCCGAAAUCGGCUCAACCCGCCCCCCCGGGCCCACGUAUCGAAACCCAAUGAAUGUCACAAAACCCGAAAGCCCAUUCACUCACGAGUCUAACUGUACCAAAUUUAUCAAAAUCGAACCUCAAUUGCCUCUCCAAAACCCCAAAAUUCAUUCUCCAAUUCCCAAGCCCUAAUCUCCCAAAUCUCACCUCAAACACUUACCAGCUAGGUGUAAGAUCAGUGGGAAAAUACCAUUAUUGAAGAUAAAUAGGCACAAGGAACUUACCUCAGUGAUUACUCCGAUAUUUCUCUCAAAUCCCCAAAAUCCGAGCUAAAAAAUGAUAAAAAUGGUAAAAACUCUCGAAGUGUUCUAUUUAUAGGUUCGUCCCAUACUUCUUGCACCUGCGACUCCAUUUCCGCAUCUGCGGGCAAAGCCCCUCUUCUGCGAAAAAAUCCCUACACACUGCCUCCGCUCCUACAAUCAAGUGACUGCAUCUGCGCUCUUCGCGGGUGCGGGAACUACAUCGCACCUGCGGUCCAAACUCGCACCUGCACCCCUAAAUCUGCUUCUGCGACCAUUUGCAGGUGAGGGAAUUCCAUUGCAACUGCGUCCUCUGCCCAGAUCCUCCUUAGCCGCAUCUGCGGCUCCUCCUUUGCUUCUGCUGGCUCGCACCUGCGGUUCCCACUUUGCAGGUGUGGUUACACCAGUAGCAGCAGCUUCAGCUGCAAUUCUUCAACUCCCAUCAAGCCGUUAACCACCCGAAAUCACCUCGAGGCCUCCAGGACCUCACCCAAUCAUACCAACAAGUAAUAUAACCCCAUGCAAACUUAGUCGAACCUUCAAAUAACUCAAGACAAUAUCAAUACACCAAUUACACCCGGAUUCAAGCCUAAAGAACUUCUAAACUUUUAAAUUCCACAAACGACGCCGAAACCUAUCAAACCACGUCCGAUUGAUCUCAAAUUUUACACACAAGUCAAAAAUGAUACCACGAACCUAUUCCAAUUUCCGAAAAUCUAAUCCGACCCCGAUAUUAAAAUUUCCACUGCCGGCCAAAAUCGCCAAAAUUCCAACUUUUGCCAAUUCAUGUCUUAUUCCACUAGGGAUUUUCAAAUCACAUUCCGAACGCGCUUCUAAGUCCAAAAUCACCUAACAGAGCUAACAGAACCAUAAAAAUUCAAAUCCGAGGUCGUUUUUCCACAAGUCAAUAUCCGGUCGACUUUUCCAACUUAAGCUUCCAACUAAGAGACUAGGUGUCUCAAUUCACUUCAAAACCACUCUGAACCCGAACCAACCAACUCGGUAAGACAUUAUACAUCUGUAAAGCACAAAAAAACAAAAAUGGGGGAAACAAGGCUAUAACUCUCGAUACGACCGGCCGUGUCGUUACAAUGUUUGUCUUUCCUACCCUUAGGAUCAUUCAACUCAGCAUUUGUUCUACCUUGACAUAGUUACUGUUGGUUGCUCUGAAGAUUUUCCUAUUUUGCACUUAUGAUUAAUCUCUUUAAAUGCUCUAACACAUGUUGUAAAUGAAUGGCGAGCACUCCUGGAUACUGUUAGUAACUAUAGUGAUGACUUUUGUAUUCUGAGUUUUGAUUCUAAGGAUGAUGAUAUAAUUCCUUCAGUGUUUAUGUCUCUACAUUUUUGUUUUGGUUUCUGCAGCAUCUGAACUUCUUAUGUACUUGAACUAUUGUGUCUAUUCCUGGUCUCAUAUUGAUUGUUAAGUGAAUACUUCAUUUGUAUCUAAACCUUUGAGGAAGAGUGAGUGUGAGUGGCCAAGGGUAUUUGGGUUGGGAUCUAGUUUGUGGUUAAGGUGUCCUUCCUUGACACAAGACUGCUCGGGGUCCUUGAGACCCUUGUGAACUCUGAAGUGCUAGAGAUUCCAAGGGUGCUUUAUCCACGAAUAAGGUCUUAUACUAAGCUCUUGAUAAUUGACUCUCACUAAUCUCUUCAGGAUUAAUACAAAUAAAAAAUUUGUCUUCACUUUAAUUAUGUCUAGUUGUUACAAUCCUAUUCUGUUAGGCCUUGUGUUAGUUUUAUUUCACUCUUAAUCGUAUGUCACAGUCUUAUUCGAUUUGGGCCUCAUAUGGAUUUCACUAAUGGAAUUCAUUUUCAUCUUUGUAUGAUUGAACUUGGGCCUGCUGAGCCCAUCUGGAAUUCAAGCCUAUUAUCAGAUCUUGAGCCGCAACAUUUCUGUCACGUCUACUGUUCGUGCGUGUGACCUUGGGCCUGUUUGAGCAUUAGACCCAAAAUCAUCCAGAGUCCAGUUCUUUACUCUUAUUCCUUUUGAAUUCAUUGCGAUACUAUUUGAUAUGUGUAUAUAUGUUCUUGAAUGACUAACAUUUAUUAUUGUAUAACUUUAAAUACCUUUGAUUGUACAGGAAACAUAGACAAACUAAAAGACUGUAGGUAAAAAUAAAAAGGAAUGGCUGUCUCUUGUAUCAGUUAAAUGACUUCAACUUAUCUAAUUAUUUCUAUUAUCUAGUCUUCACUUUCAUACUAACCGUUUCUCAUGAAUCUUCGAAGUUCAAAAUAGAUUUGAAAAGGCAAAAACCCUCUUUCUUUAAAGGCUAGAAUUGGGCAAAUAAUCUCAAAGUCGAGUUUUCUACGAACC